GGGACGGGGAGUCUAGAGCAGCGGACCAUGGGCUAAUAUUUACUUUAUGAAAAAAAAAAAAAAAAAAAAAAAAAUAUCAACAUUAUUACCCCGCGGGCUUCGGCGAUGGGAAAGCCGAGAGGUGGCCGAGAAACAUCAAUAUUACACUGCAUUUUGAGACUAAGAAAAGAGCAUGGAACGUAUAUCAGAGUGCUCCUCUCAUAACCACAAAGCCAUUAAAAAAAUUCAACUUUACUCAAACUCCGUUCUUUGGCAUCUAGCCGAGAGUCGCUUGUUGUCUACUUUAGAGAAUUUGACAAGUGCUUACUGUAUGGAUAGCUAUUUCAGUCUGCCAUGACCUUACAGCACCACCUAUGACAUAAAAGCCCACCUCAAGAUCACUCACCCACCACAAUGACCCAGGGCAUGCAUGGUGGGUUGCUCUAUGCCACCACCUACAAUUAGCCCGAAUUAGGUGUUUUGAGCCGAAGUUGCCAGGUUAACUUAGGUUUUCUAUGUCUACUCAGGCUUACCAUUGUUAAUUAAAUAUGUGAGGGAAUUUUAUCUGUAUAUGCAAGGGGGGGAUGGAAGGGAGGAUCCAUUCUUAGGGGGGGUAUUGAAAAGUAAGGGCUUGAUAGUGUACGGGUGGGCAGGAACGGGGUAAUCUAUGUGUCAGUAAAUGGAGGGGAAGAAGAGAUUACAGGGGAAGGGAAGGGGAGAAGGAAAGAAGGGAAGCAGAGGAAGGGUAAGGAAAGGAAAGGGGAGAUGAGUGGGAGCAGAUGAAUGGCAGGGGAAGGAAGGGAGAGGAAGAUAAGGGAAGGGAAGGGAGAGAAGGAAGGGUAGGGAAAGGAAAGGGAAAUGGGAUAAGAAAGGGGAGAUGAGAGGAAGCAGAGGAAUGGCAGGGGAAGGAAGGGAGAGGAAGAUAAGGGAAGGGAAGUGAGGGAAAGAAGGGUAGAGGAAGGGUUAGAUUAGGGAGGAUAGGGAAAGGAGAAAGAGAUAAGGGAGGGAAAGGGAUAAGAAGGGGAGGGGAAGGAGGAGGUAAGAAAGGAAGGGAAGAGAAAGGGAAGGGAAGCAGAGAAGUGAUGGGGGAAGGGAUAACAUAAAAAAGAGAGAGGGAGAGAAGGAAAAGGAAGGGAUAAAGUUAACAGAGAGAAGGAAGGAAGGAAGGAAGGAAGGUUAGGUUAGACCUUUAAGGGAGACAAUAGAGAUAAGGAAGGAAGGAAGGUUAGGUUAAACUAGGUUAGGGGAGAUUAUACAGGUUAACUAAGGUCCUGUAUCUCUAUAAAAAGGGAGAUUAUACAGGUCAACUAAGGUCCUGUAUCUCUAUAAAAAGGGAGAUUAUACAGGUUAACUAAGGUCCUGUAUCUCUAUAAAAAGGGAGAUUAUACAGGUUAACUAAGGUCCUGUAUCUAUAAAAAAAAGGGAGAUUAUACAGGUUAACUAAGGUCCUGUAUCUAUAAAAAGGGAGAUUAUACAGGUUAACUAAGGUCCUGUAUCUCUAUAAAAAGGGAGAUUAUACAGGUUAACUAAGGUCCUGUAUCUCUGUAAAAAGGGAGAUUAUACAGGUUAACUAAGGUCCUGUAUCUCUAUAAAAAGGGAGAUUAUACAGGUUAACUAAGGUCCUGUAUCUAUAAAAAGGGAGAUUAUACAGGUUAACUAAGGUCCUGUAUCUCUAUAAAAAGGGAGAUUAUACAGGUUAACUAAGGUCCUGUAUCUGUGUAAAAAGGGAGAUUAUACAGGUUAACUAAGGUCCUGUAUCUCUAUAAAAAGGGAGAUUAUACAGGUUAACUAAGGUCCUGUAUCUCUAUAAAAAGGGAGAUUAUACAGGUUAACUAAGGUCCUGUAUCUGUGUAAAAAGGGAGAUUAUACAGGUUAACUAAGGUCCUGUAUCUCUAUAAAAAGGGAGAUUAUACAGGUUAACUAAGGUCCUGUAUCUCUAUAAAAAGGGAGACUGUACAGGUUAACUAAGGUCCUGUAUCUCUAUAAAAAGGGAGACUAUACAGGUCAACUAAGGUCCUGUAUCUCUAUAAAAAGGGAGACUAUACAGGUUAACUAAGGUCCUGUAUCUCUAUAAAAAGGGAGACUAUACAGGUUAACUAAGGUCCUGUAUCUCCCUCCCUUCCUCCCUCCCUCACCAAACACUGCAGCAAAGGACGAAAGAAAUGGAAAGAAGGGAGACUAUAAAAAGGGAGAUAGGGGAGAAAAGGGAGAUUAUACAAGUUAACUAAGGUCCUGUAUCUCCCUCCCUUCCUCCCUCCCUCACCAAACACUGCAGCAAAGGACAAAAGAAAUGGAAAGAAGGGAGACUAUAAAAAGGGAAAUAGGGGAGAAAAGGGAGAUUAUACAAGUUAACUAAGGUCCUGUAUCUCCCUCCC